rnacentral:rRNA from 1 species
CGCGACUUACUUGGCGAAAAGGCUGGUUUGGCGCGUUUGGUUUGUCGGAUUUCAAUCUGGGGCUUCACGCCAGAAAGUUCAUACGAAAUGGCGGGCUUCGAGGCCGGGAUGGGUGAUUGGAACACCUCGUCGUAGGGGUGAAAUGGUGUGGUAUCAUGUGUACAUCUGAGGCGACAGGGCGAGUCCUUGUAACGGAUCCGACGCUGAGGCACGAAAGCGUGGGGAGCAAACAGGGAUUAGAUAUCCUGGUAGCCCACGCCGUAAACGGUGCACAUUUUUCGUGGGGGGAAUUGACCCCCCCCCGUGCCUAGCGAACGCGAUAAAUGUGCCGCCUGGGGAGUACGGCCGCAAGGUUAAAACUCAAAGAAAUUGACGGGGGCCCGCACAAGCGGAGGAGCAUGUGGCUUAAUUUGAUGCAACGCGAAGAACCUUACUUAGGCUUGACAUGUGAUUGCACGACCGGUGAAAGCCGGUCUCCUUCGAGGGUGUCACACAGGUGCUGCAUGGCUGUCGUCAGUUCGUGCCGUGAGGUGUUUGGUUAAGUCCACCAACGAACGCAACCCCUGCGUCCAGUUGCCAUCGGGUCAUGCCGGGAACUCUGGACGGACCGCCCCUUCAAACGGGAGGAAGGUGGGGAUGACGUCAAGUCAGUAUGGCCCUUACGCCUAGGGCUGCACACGUGCUACAAUGGCCGGUACAGAGGGACGCGAGACCGCGAGGUGGAGCAAACCCCCAAAACCGGCCCCAGUUCAGAUUGGAGUCUGCAACCCGACUCCAUGAAGUUGGAUUCGCUAGUAACGGCGCAUCAGC